rnacentral:piRNA from 1 species
UGGGAAAGCCCAAAAGGAGUUUGUCAGG